UUUGAAUUUUUGAAUUUUUGUGGAUCUUAUGCUGAAUGAUCCGAUUUGAUCCGAACCCAUUAUAUGAUUCAAAUCUAUUAUAUGGAAGCAUAGACUAGACACAAAUUACAACAGAUUACCCAUCUACACAGUAUUAUCUUCUUUCUUUUUUACCCCAAUAAUUGAGUGGCAUCCACUAGUUCAAGCUGAUGGAGUCCCUCAACAAAUAUUAUCUUCUUUCCUUUCUAUCUCUACGAGAAAUCUUUUGCAUCAAACCUACAUAACAUUUUCAAUUCAAAAAAUUUAGAGGAUUAGUAGAAAAAAAGAUAUUUUACUUUCAAUUGUAUCCUAUGACUAGCUUCCAUCUGUACAUGAGG
rnacentral:lncRNA from 1 species